AUUCGGAUAGCUCAGCUGGGAAGAGCACCCGACUGGUAAUCGGAAGGUCCCGGGUUCGAUUCCUGGUCUGAAAA